rnacentral:rRNA from 1 species
UACGUAGGGGGCUAGCGUUGUCCGGAAUCAUUGGGCGUAAAGAGCGUGUAGGCGGUCCGGUAAGUCCGCUGUGAAAGUCGGGGGCUCAACCCUCGAAUGCCGGUGGAUACUGUCGGGCUAGAGUGCGGAAGAGGCGAGUGGAAUUCCUGGUGUAGCGGUGAAAUGCGUAGAUAUUGGGAGGAACACCAGUGGCGAAGGCGGCUCACUGGACCGGUACUGACGCUGAUGCGCGAAAGCGUGGGGAGCAAACAGG